rnacentral:rRNA from 1 species
AUUGAACGCUGGCGGCAGGCCUAACACAUGCAAGUCGAACGAGUGGCGGACGGGUGAGUAAUGUCUGGGAAACUGCCUGAUGGAGGGGGAUAACUACUGGAAACGGUAGCUAAUACCGCAUACCAUCGGAUGUGCCCAGAUGGGCUUAGAUAGUAGGUGGGGUAACGGCUCACCUAGGCGACGAGCCCUAGCUGGUCUGAUAGGAUGACCAGCCUCCCUGGAACUGAUACACGGUCCAGACUCCUAUCGUAGGCCGCCGUCCGUAAUAUUUCACACUGGGCGCGAGCCUGAUGCAGCCAUGCCGCGUGUAGUAAGAAGGCCAUCGGGUUGUAAAGUACUUUCAGCGGAGAUGCGUUACCCGCAGCAGAAGCACCGGCUAACUCCGUGCCAGCAGCCGCGGUAAUAC